CCUACGGGAGGCAGCAGUGAGGAAUAUUGGUCAAUGGGCGGAAGCCUGAACCAGCCAAGUAGCGUGCGGGAUGAAGGCCCUACGGGUCGUAAACCGCUUUUGCACGGGGAUAACACCCUCCACUUGUGGAGGUCUGCAGGUACCGUGCGAAUAAGGGCAGACUAAUUCCGUGCCAGCAGCGGAGGUAGUACGGAGGGCCCGAGCGUUGUCCGGGUUCGCUGGGCUCAAGGGGAGCGUAGGCGGGCGUUAACGUCGGCUGUAAAAUCGAGCGGCGCAACCGCGAGCCGCAGUUGAUACUGGACUCAUUGAGUUCACAACAGGCAGGCGGAAUUCGUUGGGUAGCGGUGAAAUGCAUAGAUAUCACGAGGAACCCCGAUUGCGAAGGCAGCCUGCCGGGCUUCGACUGACGCUGAGGCUCGAAGGUGCGGGUAUCAAACAGGAUUAGAUACCCCUGUAGUC
rnacentral:rRNA from 1 species